rnacentral:rRNA from 1 species
GAUCAUGGCUCAGGAUGAACGCUGGCGGCGUGCUUAACACAUGCAAGUCGAACGGAACUACUUUGAUGAGAUUCUUCGGAAAGGAUUUGAUUUAGUUUAGUGGCGGACGGGUGAGUAACGCGUGGGUAACCUGCCUCAUACAGGGGGAUAACAGUUGGAAAUGACUGCUAAUACCGCAUAAGCGCACGGUAUCGCAUGGUACAGUGUGAAAAACUCCGGUGGUAUGAGAUGGACCCGCGU